GGGUUGUGAGGUUAAGCGACUAAGCGUACACGGUGGAUGCCCUGGCAGUCAGAGGCGAUGAAGGGCGUGCUAAUCUGCGAUAAGCGCCGGUAAGGUGAUAUGAACCGUUAUAACCGGCGAUACCCGAAUGGGGAAACCCAGUGUGACUCGUCACACUAUCAUUAACUGAAUCCAUAGGUUAAUGAGGCGAACCGGGGGAACUGAAACAUCUAAGUACCCCGAGGAAAAGAAAUCAACCGAGAUUCCCCCAGUAGCGGCGAGCGAACGGGGAGGAGCCCAGAGCCUGAAUCAGCAUGUGUGUUAGUGGAAGCGUCUGGAAAGGCGCGCGAUACAGGGUGACAGCCCCGUACACAAAAGCGCAUGUGCUGUGAGCUCGAUGAGUAGGGCGGGACACGUGGUAUCCUGUCUGAAUAUGGGGGGACCAUCCUCCAAGGCUAAAUACUCCUGACUGACCGAUAGUGAACCAGUACCGUGAGGGAAAGGCGAAAAGAACCCCGGCGAGGGGAGUGAAAAAGAACCUGAAACCGUGUACGUACAAGCAGUGGGAGCACAGGUUUACCUGUGUGACUGCGUACCUUUUGUAUAAUGGGUCAGCGACUUAUAUUCUGUAGCAAGGUUAACCGUAUAGGGGAGCCGUAGGGAAACCGAGUCUUAACCGGGCGUUAAGUUGCAGGGUAUAGACCCGAAACCCGGUGAUCUAGCCAUGGGCAGGUUGAAGGUUGGGUAACACUAACUGGAGGACCGAACCGACUAAUGUUGAAAAAUUAGCGGAUGACCUGUGGCUGGGGGUGAAAGGCCAAUCAAACCGGGAGAUAGCUGGUUCUCCCCGAAAGCUAUUUAGGUAGCGCCUCGUGAAUUCAUCUCCGGGGGUAGAGCACUGUUUCGGCUAGGGGGCCAUCCCGGCUUACCAACCCGAUGCAAACUGCGAAUACCGGAGAAUGUUAUCACGGGAGACACACGGCGGGUGCUAACGUCCGUCGUGAAGAGGGAAACAACCCAGACCGCCAGCUAAGGUCCCAAAGUCAUGGUUAAGUGGGAAACGAUGUGGGAAGGCCCAGACAGCCAGGAUGUUGGCUUAGAAGCAGCCAUCAUUUAAAGAAAGCGUAAUAGCUCACUGGUCGAGUCGGCCUGCGCGGAAGAUGUAACGGGGCUAAACCAUGCACCGAAGCUGCGGCAGCGACGCUGAUGCGUUGUUGGGUAGGGGAGCGUUCUGUAAGCCUGCGAAGGUGGCCUGUGAGGGUUGCUGGAGGUAUCAGAAGUGCGAAUGCUGACAUAAGUAACGAUAAAGCGGGUGAAAAGCCCGCUCGCCGGAAGACCAAGGGUUCCUGUCCAACGUUAAUCGGGGCAGGGUGAGUCGACCCCUAAGGCGAGGCCGAAAGGCGUAGUCGAUGGGAAACGGGUUAAUAUUCCCGUACUUGGUGUUACUGCGAAGGGGGGACGGAGAAGGCUAUGUUGGCCGGGC
rnacentral:rRNA from 1 species